CUCAAUCUGCACUUCAUUUCCUGCUAUUCAGCUUUCUGUGGUUCACAGACAAAAAUACCUGGGGGGGAAAAAAAAAGCACAAUACCAGAUCCCAGGGGGCUCUGACUUACCGCAGGAAAAAAAUGUGGCAUGCUGCAUAACAGGAGUCCAUGCCCAUGCUGGGAGCAAGGAGGCACAGCGAGCAGAGCAGAGUACAUUAACUCAGAGGUUGUGGUGCCAAGAGCUUCCCACCGCUUCUCCAGCCAUGAGAGCAGUGAGCCAUUCUGUCUCCAUCAUCUGCCAUUGGUUCCUCAGGUGCAGUGGAGAAAGCAAGGGCUUCUUUCUGUUGGAGGAAAAGCAGCAUGCUGGGCAGUCCUUCAGCCCCAAAGCAAGAGUAAUCAAGAGUUUCAGUCCCAAGAGAAGAAUCCUGGGAGAUCUAGUGUACGGCACUUCACGCAACACUGAGCACGAGCAGAACUUCCACCUGCCCUUUGCCAUCACAGAAAUAAGAGUUUGGGGGGAUAGGGGCAGAUGGAUCCGUUUAGGUGUAGCCAGAGCAGCCCCCUCAUCUCCACUGCAGCGGGAAGAAAAUCUCCAAGCCAGAGGAGAACGUAAAGGAAAGCUGUGCAACUUCAUUCGCAUUCAUUUCAAUAUGCACGAGGGAACAAAUAUGGCCAAUAACAUCCUAAGAUACUGUCGUGCUGAAAUUCUUUGUUUACCAAGAAAUGACAUGUUGAAAGCCCUUGGCAUCUAUGAAGCAGAUGAUUUCUAUUCAUUUAUUUGAAGCAUUUUGCAGUACUUACCCAGACGCUUGGAGUGAUUAUCUUGCCAGAUCUCAUGUGGAGGAUUGGGUCAGAUGGGCGAGCUCCAGCAAAUCUCCCAGUGUCCUAAAGGAAGCGGUGUGGUACUCAGGCAGGUAGUACUCACCCUCCAACCCCAUACCAGGAGUGUCCAUCCAGCUCAUUGCUUUCAGUUGUAGGCUCAAUUGGGCAUACAAUCCUUCAACUCCUGUCCAAACCUGUGGGGAAAUGUUUCUGCGCAUUGUUAAACAGCUCCUGCUUUCAACCCAGAGGCUGAUGCUGUUCUGUGAAAGCAUGGUUUUCACAAAAUCUGAAUGUUCCAUGGAAAAACUUCAAUUUUGCCAGACCUUUGCAGCUUUCCACUUGGGGAGAUCUAAAUAAUUGAUUUCCUUUUAUGUUCCAGUUGAUGGAAAUGUAAACUUUUAAGUCACUUUUCAAAACAAAUAAACAAGUAAGUAAAUCAGAAUCCAUCAUCUAAAGAUUUUCUUCAGCUUGAUGCCUCCUUGGACACGAAAGAUGAACUUUCACCAUGGGUGAGGAGUGCCACAAAGGGGUCUCCAACCAGCACAGUCCACACCUUCAGCAAAAACUUGUCACUGAGCUUGGAUGAAGCAUGGAAAAUUCCAAAAGGAAUGAGUUUGAGAAAGACACAAGCACAAGUGAAGGAGGAGAGGCAGGAAUAGCAGUUGGAGCUCAACCUCUGUUCCAGCAGCUCUUGCCAAUGGCUGCGAGUGCUAAUAAGGAACAGCCUCCCGUGCAUGCCACGUGCAGCCAAGGCAAGAUGGAUGUGUUCGUUUCUGCUGUUGAGCAGUCCAGACCAGAUACUGUCUAUGGGUGCAUUAGUAGAGACCCUUACCAGCAUUCCUCCACCCUGAGGAAACAUUUCUUGGGAUGCAGCACAUUAAUGCAAUGCCAUGCUGAGCCCCCAUUUAUCCACUGCAAUGCUGAGCCUCCGUUUAUCCAUUGCUGUGCUGCAGGUUGGGUACCACCAGUCCAUGUGCAUCUCCAGGGCAGCUCAGCUUUUUCUGCAUGUCCUGCCUGAGCAUAGAGGCAUUUGCAGUGUUGCCAUGACUUCAGAUGGCUGUCAGGGAGGGGACCUGGAGACGAUAGGUCCCUGGGGACACUUAAGGUCAGGAUGGAUGGGCUGUGAGCACCUGAUGGAGCCGUAGGUGCCUCUGAUCAUUGCAGAGGAGUUGGGCCAGAUGACCUUUAAGGGUCCCUUCCAUCUCAAAUGAUUCUAUGAUUCAGUUGCCUUUAUCACCUCUCUACUUGCCAGGGCUGCUUAUGACUAACUGAGAUCUCUCCUGUUGCAGAGGGAGAUGUCUCUCCUAUGGGACAAAGGGUUUCAUGGAGCCUUUCUUCCAUGUGCCCAGCCUCUCCCUGCCUUCCCCAGGCCUGAGAGCAACCAGAGGCGAUUGCAACCUGAGUCCUGUCCCAGCCCCAAGAGUCCCACACACAGCUUCUCCCCACACACAUCUCUGCUCUCCCUCCUUCAGAGUAGGACAGCUGUCCCCAGAAGGCAGCUCUCAGGACAAUUUUUAAACAAUCCAAUAUAAAUGGAGUUUGCAAACCUGUUUCUUCACAGUUUCUUCCUGCCCUGAAGCACCUUUUCCCUCUGUUCACCCUGCUGGGGCUCAGCAAAAUGGGGGGUGUUUUCUUCUUCUC
ensembl:lncRNA